UUUUUUUUUGUAAUUUGUUGGUGUGUUGGGAUUUUGUUGGAUUUGAUCCGGGGAUUUGCCUUGUUACUUGUGGACCUAGCAUCUCCCUAAUUUUCUCCACCUUCCAUCCAUGAUAUCGCUCGAAUUUUGACCUCGAAAUUACCCUUGCCCGCCCCAAAACCCGCACCGAUCCAGAUCUUGUGAUCUUUUUCCAACCCCAGCGGUACUACCGCCUAUACAAGCGGUACUACCGCCCCGCCCAGUUUCAGUCAAAACCGAUUGGCAUCUUUGCCUCAACCACUAUACACCAUCACCACUUCCGCAUACCACCACCAUUUUGGACCGUUUCGCUCUCCGACACGUUUGCCACGUCGAGCUUUGAGAAUUUGAGUUGCGGUACCGUAUCCUUUUGUGUUUCGGCUAUCGAGGUACGGUUCGACAUCGACAUCACCGCCGCUCAUCUUCGCCACGGACGCGUCAACAACAACGACCACCUCGACUACAUCUUGGUAUUCGUGCCACCCACUUGAUCACCGUCAUCCAUUCUUGCUUACGGACGAGGAACCAAAGAACGGUAACCUCAUCUUGGUAUUGGACAUAUCACUUUUGCCAUUACAUUAAUAGCCGGUUUAUCCCUGCAACAGCCACCUGACCGGUACAACCGCCCCAAGCACUGGUACAACCAUUGAGCACAUCCGGAAACGCCUCCAGGAACCAGUGCCUGAGCUCCCAGCGGUACAACCGCCUUGCCUGCGCGCAGCGACAGGGGUUUUACCCCAUGUAUCCCCCAACUUACCCCUUGGACUAUAUAUACUUGUCCCUUAGCUCCGUACUAGGGUUAGCGUUGGUUUAGCUCAUUUUGAGAGAUAGAGCUUCGCUCAUCCACAUCGGAUCUACUCCUCGUGAGAGACCGCGGUCUCUUCGGAGAAGAUCCCUUUGGAUUAAGACCCCUCUUUAGGGAAGAACAUCAAGACCUCCUCACGGAGAAGACCGGCUACCCUUGUAUCGUCCUUGGUUGAUUGUGUACCGUGUGAACCCGAUGUAUUCGAGGAUCUAGCACAUGUGUGACUUUCUUGUGUUGGUUUAGUGUUUCCUCUUGUGUUUUCCCUCUUUUCCCCCUCGUGUUCCUCGUGUUCUUCGCGGGAUCCGCUCCUUUCGUGAAAGAUCGGCCCCUAGGGUUCCUACCCUACAUCAGUACCGGGAUUAGAGAUAGAGAACGGGGAUUAGAGAAACUAGACUUCUUUAAUUAUUGAUUGCCUCUAGCUUACACGGGGGAACUAGUACUACUUUAACAUGUUUUGGGCUCUAAUUGGAAUCUGACUCAAACUAGACUACCUUACCAGAAGCUGCAAACUACUUGAUGAUGCCAUGCCCCCAGGGUGUACCAGCAAAGGCAGGAGUCGGCCCAUUAGCCAUGGGAUGCCACAAUCCCAUGGCUCGGGCCAUGACAUACACCGGGGCACACAUCAAGACUUGGCAUACGAAAAUACGCGUCGCAAGAUCUGGUGUAAUCCCGUAUGAUUAGGCUAGAUCGUACCGACCUGGAUACAUUUAACCCUAGCCCUGUCCCCCCUAUAUAAGGUUGUCUGAGUGUGAUCUCAUGAUAUCAGAGUCAGGUGACUUCCUUUUUAUGAUCUGGCCCUGGGCUAAAACACGCUUAAGACAAACAACUAGCUAAAUCACCAUCUCAAGACAUGAUUCUUUUUUACCCGGGUUCAGGCCGCAAUGAUGCGUAAUACCCUACUCCUGCCUUGUUCCGUUUAUAUGGUAGAUAUAUGGAGGGUACAAGUGCUCACACACUAUUGGGGAGUGCUCGGGUAUAGCUAAGUGAUCAGAGCGUACUGGCCCAGGCACGCCUAUUCUUCCCUCCUCUCUUCUUACCACUUGAUUUAUUGUGUCUAAAAGACUUUCCCUUCUCCUGGCCGCGGCUCUCCCCUUAUAUACCAUCGAGGGGGAGGGGAUGGCACCACAGUGGCCUUUCAUAUAUACUAUGAACUUGGACGUAAUUAGUCACACGCCUUAUCUUUCACUUGGGUGGCUGUUGUCAGGCAAUUGGUCGUUUGACAUGAGCAGGCUCCCAAGCACUCGAGUCCUCCUGCCUCUCGCGGGCCCCACGUACCAGUGAGAGGGUGAGGCACCGGUGGUCCUUAGUCAAAAGACUCCAUGUAAUGUCGUUGUCAACAACUUGAUAGGCGCAGAUGACGGUGCGGAAAACCAUCAGAUCCCUCAGUAGGGUAGCGAGCGUAGCCGGAAGUACCAGAGGCGAGUUUGCACGGAGGGUUUACCCAGGUUCGGGCCAUCAUGGUGAGGUAAUACCCUAAGUCCUGCUUUGUUUUGUAUUGAUGUGGGAGCACCCCGUGCGAGGGGGUUACAAGAGAAUGGUGGAUAUGACUACCGAGUACUGUCUAUGUUUAUGGAACAGAUGGAUAUGAGCUACCCCUAGCCUCGCCGGACGAGAGCUAGGGUUUACUGGGCUCCUAACCAGCCUCAUGCAUGAGGUCUUCUUGGUUUGCACACCAAGAUGAACUCCUUGCUCCUAGCCUGGCCUGUGGACUGCCUCCUGGAGUCACGUUGGCCGCUGUAGAAAGCCAACAAAUCACCCUGGUGAAGAAUGGGGCCGAAGCCAGAGCUGGAAGCAUCACACUUGACGAUGAAGCGAGUGCCAAAGUCAAGCAUAUCAAGGACUGAGGCUGUACUGAGGGGGCGCUUGUGCGCACCAAACGUGGCCUGAACUUCUUCGCACCACCGUAAUCCCUCCUUUCUUCAGAAGCUUUGUGAGCGGGGCUCCGAUGGUACCAAAGUUCUUGAUGAACUUGCCCGUAGUAGCCUGCAAGGCCAAGGAAACCGCGUCUAGGACACGAACUAGUACUACUUUGUCAUACUCUCGACUCUAAUUGGAAUAUAACUCAAAGUAAACUACCUUAACAGAACCUGGAGACUACCAAUACAGAAGCAUCCUUCAGGACAUCAAACUGCCCUUGUCAAGCCACAGCCUAACCGGCCCCUGCUGCCUUGCGCCUACCAUGAGGAAUUCCCCAGAUAACAAUACGCAUGGCACACAUCAACUUCAAAUUGACAAGGAAUAUAAGCACAGAAACACUGGUCACUUCAUUUCUUAAUCCAGAACAAUUUUAAGCAAUUAACAGGUUAUUUGUCCAAAUUACAGUUUACUACCCCCGUUCCAAAAUAAUUGAAGUUCUAAGAUUGUCCAAAGUCAAACUUCAUUAAGUUUGACCAAGUUUAUAUGAAAAUAUAUCAACAUCUACAAAACCAAAAUUACUUCAUUAGAUUCACUAUGAAAUAUAUUAUCAUAUUGUAUAUAUUUGACAUUGUAAAUCUCUCUGGAUUUUUCUAUAGACAUGGUCAAACUUUAAAAAGUUUGACUUAGGAAAAUCCUAAAACUUCAAUUAUUUUGGAACAGAAGGAGUAAUAAGCCUUUAUGUUCAAGCACCAGAUAAACUCAAGGGAUUAGUGAUGAUAUAAUUAUGGAGGUUGAAAGGUGAAAAAAAUACAUACUUGAUUUGGGAUCAACGUGCACAAAAAAGCUUGCGGCAACUAUGAGAUAGCAUAAUAUGAGCAUAAGGCCUUUAAAAUAGUUCGACGUGCCUUCCUGGAAAAAGCAUAGACUAAAGUGUUAGAGUUGCACUUGAUCAAAUCUAAAAGGAGUACAUUGUGGCAACUGUAUAAACUACAGAAUACAUUAUAAAUGCUGACUCGUUCUGCAAACAUACCUGUAGCAUAAAUGCCACCACAAGUACUGUUAUAAAAAGAGUUGCUGUCUCAAACAAUUGAAAGUUCAAGUCCAUCUCUUCCCCCAUCAUCCAGCCAAUUACCACACAGAAUGGAAUCUGCAAAUCAUGCAACAUGGGUGUUGGUUGCAAUUGUUUAACCUUGCAAAAAAAACUUGAAAAUGUACAGGACAAUAGUUGAAUCUUGUUGAGUAAAUGAACUUACCACAAACAUAGAUAUCUGUGUUGACGACCCUAUGGCGACACCCAAUGUAAUGUCCUUGUGGAAUGCAAGAGAUUAAAGAUGAGAACAGAAUCACACAAUUGAGUUGCAGAAAGCAGAGGCUACUUACAAGUUUGUUUUUCAUGGCAAACAUAAUGGCGCUUGCAUGCUCAGCAGCAUUCCCCACGAUAGGAAGCAGAAUAACACUAAUAAAGGCCAGUGGCAUGUUUAAUGAUUCAGAGGCCCCCUGUUACAACAUAGCAAAGAAGCACAGUUCGAGCAGGAGACAAUGCAUUAAUGUAAAAUAGUGAUUAUAUUUAUCCUGAUGUAAACAAUUUGUUACCUGUAUGGCAUCUACCAGGUACCCAGAGAGAAUUGAAAUCCAAAUAGUCAACACAAAAAGCCAGGAGAUAGCUUCCCCCUGUGCUAUCUCCUUUUCAUCCUCCUCAUCCUCAGUGCUUUCUUCUUCCUGUUAUGGCAAGUAGGAAAAUUAGGAUUUCAAGGAACUGUGCACAAAUUUAAGCCCAGAUUUUCUCUGGUUUGUUUUGAUGGGCAAUUGUUCCUUUUUGCCUCAUGUGAAUUUGAGAAAACAGCAAAUGAUUACAUGACUAAUUAAAAGAGCCUGAACUGUUUGGAAAGUGUGGUGAAGUGACACACAUACAAGUCAGAAGGGAUAUUCAAAGAAAGGUAUGUGAUGUACUAGUGCAGAGCUAACAUAUUUAAAGGCAAAAGGAGCGUCGCUAUCAUUGUCGAUGAUAAGAAGAAUUACCUAUGGCCUGGGACCUUAAUGCCGUGUCAACAGCCACCACUAAAUCAACAGAUAGGUUACCGCACCAAGGAGGACUGCCACCGACCACGGAGGAGACUUCCCAUCGAAGUACAACAUAUCGAAGGAAACUCCCUACGACUGAGGAAAGGCUAUACGUGUUGUAAACCAACACCAGUCCAACUCCUACUCCUAUACGCCCCACGCAUCGAUAUGGAGUCACCCAUACCUGUUGAGGGAUUUUACGUCGAUCCUAACAGCGGUAAUAGAGCGAGUGUGGAAUUUGUAGUCGAUGGGACGUCACGUCAGGAGAACAGAGGGUCUUGAGCACAGAACACGAAGACACAUGAUAUACCCGGGUUCAGGCCCCAAUUGUGGGUAAAAGCCAUACUUCCUGCCUUGCUCCUUCCUUAUAAAUGUGGAGAAUAUCGAGAGUUACAAUGUAGAGGGAGGACCUCGGCAAGUCAGGCAGUCUGGGCUAGUUCUGAUGAUGGUGUAGAUCCAGGCCUGAAGCUCCUGAAUCUUCUACAUGGUGUAGGCUAAAACUAGGGUGAGGGAGCGAUCCCCUUCUGUGAUGCCCCUGGUACCCCUUAUAUAGCACUGGUUAUGGAAGGCUCCAUAUCGGUGCGAUGGGGUGUGCAGAGAUAGGAGUCGGAUAUGGUGUCAGUAUACAAUGCGUUUGGCCCUUUUCCUAUGUUCCAUACAGUAUUUUCCUACUCCCUUAAUUUCAUUCGAUAGCAGGUCUCCCGAGGGAGCGGCGCUUCUCCAUGUGUCGAGGUGCUAUCUUUGUGUCGGAUUCAGGGCUCCGCAGACCCAAGAAAGGUUCAAACUCUGGGGCGUGUGCGAAGAACUCAACCUCUUCAGCCAACCAAUUCGUCACCCCCACGGCCUAGCUCGAUGAACAAGGAAGAAGAUGGACACGGCAGUUUACCCAGGUUCGAGCCACCUUACGGUGUAAGACCCUACUCCUGCUUUGGGGUGGAUUAGCCUCACGAGGGGCUGAAUAUGAACUAGUACAAGGGAAGAACAACCUCACGAGGUCUGCUCUGGUGUGGGUGUGAGCUGGUGAGGUGUGGAUCUGAUCUGGAGAGAGCUCUCCUUCUACGGUGUUGGCUAACCUAUAUUUAUAGUGGCCUUGGUCCUCUUCCUCCAAAACGUAGGCGGGAAGGGAUACCACAGUGGCCAAUUUGAAAGGGGACAAGUAGCACAUCUUAUCCUGACGAAAGGUGGUCUUCGCCUGCAAAGCUUCUGGUCGUGACGCUGCGGUGGGCUCAACGAUGACAUCCGUCCUGCCGUCCUGGCGGUCUUGGUCUCGUUGCACGGGAAUGGAAACAUUUGGCUGAUUCCUCGGGACCCCGUGCCUGCGCUUGCCUCCUUAGCACCAAAAAGGAAACCUACUCCUCUGCGCCCACUGGCGCCUGCCUGGCCUUAGUCGUCAUGGCUUGCGUCGCCUCAACCUCAUGAGGUGGGCACCUGCAUAGAUAUCUCCGCUCCUCGGGACACAGCCAGGGGAGGCCACUCCCUCCAGAGGUUUUGAUGUCGCCCGCCUCGCGAGGCUUGGCCCCUCGCGAGGGUCUUGUCUUGAAGGUGCUGUAGAUGGGCCGUACCAGGACGUAGACGGAGCCACACCAUGUGCCGCAGGCACGCAAGUCUGGGUACCCUGGUUCCCAGAACGCCGACAGUAGCCCCCGGGCCCAAGGCACGCUCGGGCUUGGCUUCGAGGCGAAGCCAAAGGGCAAGGGCGAAGCGCCGUGGGCCCCAAUCGCCUGCGGACCGAGUCGACGCGUGGCACUUGAUGGAACGUGGGCGUCUCCACUUCCCCACGCUGCCUUGGCAACUGCCCGACCUGACAACUGCCUGGCGCAUGCAGAAAGGCCAUCAUGGCUCGGGGCAUGAGUGGCCGGCGGUUGGCCUUCCCCCAGCUAUAGCCCCCAGCCCAUCUUCGUCUUCUCGCCGCCCACUCCUUCGUCCUCUUCGUCCCACCGUCUUGCCAAAGCGUUCAUGGCGCCGGUGAGGAGGUUCUCUGUCGUGGAGAAGGGAAAGGCUCCCCAGGUGGAACCCGAGCUGCUCCCGCCAAAGAAGAGGCACGAUCGCUCUCGUGAUGCCACCGCGGUGCCCAUGGAAACACGGCCCUGGCACGAACGCGCUCCACCGGGCUUCCCGGUUCGCGCGUAUGCUCGCACGCAAAGCCCUGCCCAUGGGAGCGACCGCGGCCGCUGCGAGGAGCGGAGCCGUGGAGGAGAACAAACGGUGGCCAUACGGCCACCCCGCCCGUGGACCCAUCCGAAGGCACGGCCCACGAGUUUGUGGUGUGGGCGGCAAUGCCGCCGCGCACAUGGAUCCGGCUCUCACGGUCUCUGGCGAGGGAGGUACCGCCGCAGGGGCCCGUCGAGUUGUGGCUGCAGCAUGACGGCUGCUGCAACCAGGCUUCAGAAGCGGAAGUCAAGGUCGUCGACUCUGGCGACGUCUUUAUGACUCGGGGAUGGGGCGCGAUCGCCCGCACCUGCCGCCCGAAGGGAGGUCACGCCACUUCGAGUACGACGGGGCACCGACGCUCUUCUUCAAGGUCUUCAAAGAAGACGGCCGGCAUCUGGAAUGCUGCCCUAGGGGAGGUGAUCAAGGCGGCGAGGCCACCGGCGGUGAACUUGUCCUUGGCCUUGUCCGCAAUUCCUCCGACAGCAGCAGCGCUUCAUUCGGACCAGGUUCAAGUGACGACGACAGCUACGAGCCGCUGCGUCGUCGCGCCCGGGCCUAGGGGGAGGAGGAGCGCCAUCCCGACGUCGCUGGCGAUGCCGCCAGGGCCAUGGUUCUUAGGAGGUUUCUCCUUUUGCUUCGUUCCUGUACAAAAAUCAUGACGGGCCCCGUGGGAGUAUGUAAAAACUUUGACGCUCGCAUUUUAAUGUUAUUAUUCCCGAUUCGAUGCCGUGUUUGCGUUUCUCGCUUUCGCAUGGUUCCCCAUUUCAUUCUCGCGGUAGCUUAGUGCUCUACGCCGGCAGGAUCCAGUCCCCAGGCAAGCUUCGGCCGUCGCUGGUAUGCCAGGUUGUGAUGCCAUGGUCAAGGCCAGGAGGUGAGCGGCCCGAGAUCCGGUAAGAGCCCCUGAGGCGCGAUGCUUAGGAGGUCCCCUUUGGCGUGCAAGUAGCCCCCGAAGGACUGAAAGGGAAGUUUCCUUGCCCGAGCAAGAUCGCGAGGGACAGAACGCUGGUCAUGAGGUCCACGCCUGCGCGUGCGAGGUGACUUAUCUUGAUGGACCUGCGGUGGUUCCUUUGCUGCGUGGACGAGCUUCUCGUGCGACGUUAAGCCAUGCCCUUCUCCCGAUGACACCCCUGGGCAGGGCUCACGCCGACCCCAUCUUCCUCGCUCGUCUAGAUGCUCUAUGUUCUCGGGUCCCGGCCCUCGAGCGAGGCUCAACCGCCGCUGGUAUGUCAGGUCGCGAUGUCGUGGUCAAGACCAGGGGGUGAGGGCUCUAGAGCCAGUAGGAGCCCCUGAGGCGCGGUGCUCAAGCCCCCCCCCUUUAACGUGCAAGCGACUUGCAUGAGAAGAGUGGUUGGCUUCGAGAGGGUACCUAGGAGGGGUUGCGCCCCGAGGUGCUGGCGAGGCUGCUCAUGGUCCCGGCUCCGAAGGUUCCUGCGAGUUAGCCGAAGAGAGAAAGCAUAGCACACAAUUGCGCUUGCUAUCCUGCCGGUGAUCUUUCCGCAAGAAGACGAAUGCACUAAGGACCCGGUGAGGUGACGUGCACGGGGCCGGCCGCGACCCAAAGCUCGGUUUCUUAGGUUUAUCAGCACUGCAGGGACGGACCCGAGCACAGGCAUCGUGCCAGCAGCCCCCGUUGCGGGAUGAGCGAGAGGCGGGUUAGCAACGUGCGGAGGCCGCGACGGGCAACUCCAUGGAUAACGAGACGGCAGGAGUAACGUCAACAACCAUGAUAACUCGAGCAUGCAUAACCGGUCCAGAGUACAUGAAUCAAAAUGGUGCAGCUGCAGGGAUGGGCCCUAACAGCUUGAGGAUGAUGCAGCCCGAGGGGCGCCCUCAACUGAACAAACCAAAAAGUCACCUGGCACCGUCGUUGUAGAUGUGUUGGGGUAGCUGGAGACGCGUGCUGUAGGAGCCGCUUCUCACGAGCCGGCCGGCUCCUGAGUCCCGAGGGGCUCCGGAGGUCCGGGGGGCUCGCGAAAUUCUGACACCUCCUCCAUCAGGACUGCCUGGCGCCUGGCCUCGUGAGCCGCCAGGACGCCCUGCAUGCAGCGCUGGUGCGAGGCAGCCGCGUUCAGCAGGCCGAAUGGCAUGCGAACAUAGCUACAGGGGGAGCCCCCACUCCGGCCAACGCGGGACGGCCAGAAGAGCUUCUGAGAAGCAGCCCUAUUGAGGCCUGGGAUGUUGACGUAGACGCGCAGCUCGCCACCCAUGUCAGGGGCGGCAACUGCACUGGAUGGUGCGGGGCGAUGCUCGCCACGCAUGGCUCGCGCCUCCUGAAGGUCUUUGAUCGCCUUGGUGAUGAACUCCUGAGCGCCUGACGCCUCGCACCUUGCGCCCUGCUCAUGGAAGCGCACGCUGAAGCACGCCUCCACAUGGUGCCUGAACGCCUCCCUCGUGGCGUUGGUCGGGUCAGAGGCCCUCCAGACGAGAGCCCCCGAGCCCGUCCUGAGAGGGGCGCCGAACGCGCCUUUCUAUGCGAAAGAAAGGCGCCCUAGCAGUGGGCGUGGGACCUGAGGCACGAUCGUCGGACACCCCAGGCUCCUGACGGUCCUUGAGGAGGAGAUGCUUCUUCUUGGGGACGGCCUCAGGAGGACGGAUGGCACCCUCAUCGUCUGAGUUCUCGGCCGCUGCAGCCUGGUAGGCGCGCUCGAGGAAGCACGUCGCGUCCUUCUCGUCGCAAGCGACUGUGAUGAUGCCGCCACUUCCUAGCAUCUUGAGGACAUUGUAGCCGUGGUGAGUCGCCGCCAUGAACUUGGCGAGGGCCGGGUAUCCAAGGAUGGCAUUGUACGGGAGGCGGAUGUGGGCGACAUCGAAGUCGAUGAGCUCGGUGCGGUAGUUGUCACGCUUGCCGAAGGUGACAGGGAGGCGAAUCUGCCCUAUGGGGGUGGUGGAGCCAUCAGUCACUCCUGAGAAGGGCUUGAUGGGGAGGAGUUGGUCGUACGGCACCUGGUGCGUCUCGAUGGAGAGGACGUUGAGCCCCGCGCCACCAUCGAUGAGUGUCCAUUGGUGACAAGGACGUUGCUGCUGGUGGACGAGCGGAGCAUUGGGAGCGCGCCGGCGGCGGCUGAACACUUGAGCUGUUCUGUAGAGUCAAAGGUGUUCGACAAGUUUUUGUGCACCAUUGCGGAAAAAAAACUAAUAAGGUUUGAUGCAGGCUAUAUAAGCAAAGGCAAGUCAUUAUGCAAUAGCAAAAUAAUUUUGCAUGGCACAUGCACGCACGUACUUGCAUAUGGGACAUGCAUGAAAUUUGGUGCAACUAAUAUGCAUGUGUGCAUGCACACGUUUGUGGCCACAUGUAAGUAAGCGACUUAGCUAGCUUACGUACGUAUCUACAUAUUCUUUUUGCGGGCACGUAUCUACAUAUUCUUGUAUGUAUAUACCGGCAAGCUCGCAUCCGUAUGUACCUGAAUACCCGCUGUAUGUAUAGACCAUACAAUAUGAGUAUUCAAGUAUAUGCGACCGGCCGGCAGGAGCGGACAUGUAUGCAUCCGAAUACCUUGCGCAAGCUACACUUUGAAAAAAAAGCAUGCACGGGAGCAGCCGGAUGUGUGGUCGUAUAAUUGGCAAGCUACAAGUUUAGAAAUCAUGUUGAAGACAGCACGUCCGACCCAUCACCCCCCGCGUCGUCUCUCUGAGGCGACUCGGGCGGGCACCCCCGCCAAGCGCCGCCACAGCCUCUUCUCCGGCCACCGCGCCUCGCCGCCGCCGGCAAAACGACGCCGGGCAAAGCUCCGCGAAGGCUGGCGGCGGCGGGAUCCAUCCAGCAUCGUUCUCUAGGCCCUGUUGCCCCUUUCCCUCUCCCGCAUCGGGGGCUCCAGAUCUGGCCUCGUGCUCCCUCUGCUCCGCUUCCCCGGCGUCGGCCGGCGCCCUCCUUCCAGAUCCGGCCGGCGUGCCGUGGCUGCGGGCAUCGAGCGCCCACGGGGUGGCUCCCGUGGCCAGGCCUCGUGGCUGCCUCGGCGGCGGCUGCACCGGCUGUAGCCUGCUGGGCUCGAUGUUGCGCCUCGUCUCCCCUGCUCCGCGCCUUGCGCCGGCAUCCGCCGCCUCCCGCCCUCAUCCGUCCGCCGUCGUUGUGGUCUGCCGGGCGUCACACCUUCCCCGCAGAUCCAAAACUUCCGCGCCUUCCCACCUCUGUUGCCGCCCGUUCUGUCGUCGUCGUGCUCCUCCGUGCGCUCACCAAACGAAGGUGGCGUCGUGGCUCCUAUCUCUGGAGCCCUCCACCUCCCAGUUCCCCCCGGGGGGCGCUGCACCGGUGGUCCUCGCUGGUGCCCUCGGCGUCAAGGGUGCCUGCCGGUGUUGCUCCGCCGGUGGGAUUCAACUGGAUCUGGGGCCGUCCAUUCCAGCGCUACCCUGCGCUAUUGGCGGCUGCUCUGUGGCUAGUCGCGUGGCAGAUGUGACCGGGGAUGGGGAGAAAUCCUUGGUCGGCCUGCUGCUGGCCGAGACAGCGGCGACGCUUCCCAUCGUUCUCCAUCUUGAUGGCGUUGUCUUCAUCCCCCGGUCUUGUGAUGUUUGGGGUGUGCUCUGUGGAGUUCUAUGCUUGGUGAUGCCCUUCGACUACACCGGUGGCACACAGGUGUCAUGGCGUCGUCUGGGCCCGGUGCGACCGUUCGAAUGUACCCCAUGACACAGGUGGUGUCGCGGCGUUGUGCAGUCUUGGUUGCCCGGUGCUUUUCAAUUGCGUCGAUGGUGCAGUGUCAUGGUUCAGUCUCGGCUCGCCGCUGCAGUUCGAGCGCCGAUGGUGCCUCUUGUUGUGUUGUGUCCCCCCUCGCCAUGUGUUGUCCGUGUGUUGUUUCGCUUUAUUUCUCCUUCCUGUUCCCCCUGUACUUCUGGUUCACUUGAGCCCUAUCUUGUAUUAGGCUGCAAAGCCUAUAGGCAACAAAUGAAUACAAUUCAGGUGGGGAGGAUUCCUUCUCCCCCCGGUGACAUUCAAAAAAAAAAAGUUUAGAAAAACAAAACUCAACUGACCUCAUCGAUUUCUGUUGAAAGGCAUGCUUGAAGCGACAAGGCAUGUAUUGGUUUGUUUCCUUUUCCUUGUGCAGACUUGGACAUCAAGAAAAAGAAUAGAAGGAAGGAAUUAGCCGCGACUGCGUACAAGCACCAGCCUUCUCGUCCUAUAAAUAUAGGAGGAACCACGAACAUCAAAGGGGGUCAGGAAAAGACCGAAGGCAGAGGAGACGAGGAGACCGGCGUACGCCCUCCACGCAAAGACGCGCCCACCAUGGUGGCACUCUUGCCGGGCAGCACACAGGUUGCUUGCCUAUACGGCGGCAGCGCGUGCGCCAAGGCAUGAAAGAGAUGACCAGUCAAAGGGACGUACGCUGACAAGGAGCCUACACCUCAAAUCAGCACAUAUAUACAUCUAUUUCCUUUUGUAUGCAGGACAAGAUACACAUGCACGUGCACGAUUGUCCAAGAGCAGCAUGUCCUGAGCAUGGAGGAGGUGUUCCCCACAUGAGUGAGCGCCUAGGACUACGCGCUAGUCCUCCAGCCAGUAUGAUGGCCGCUCUUGGAGACGACAUCAUCGGCCCUCUGCCGCUGACUUCUUCAAGCUCACGACGACGGGGCUAAUCUUGUACUUCACCGUGCCAAGACGUUGAAGAUGACGGCAUACCAGCGGUGCUGUCGACGCGCAGCCCGCUGGACUCCUAGUGGUGGCCUCCCUUGGUGAUGAGGCCGACGACGUCUACUUCAUCAAGCUGGAGCCCCGGAGGCGGGAGGUUCGCGAGGAUGCCGCCAUGGAUGGCGACAUGGAGCUCGCUAGGACGAUGCCCUCGUUUUUCUUCAUCAGGCUGGCGCAAUGGAGGACGAAUGUACGGAGGCUCGCGCGGAUGCGGCCGCCGUGCCGCGGUGGAUCGUGGCGCGGAGUUCGCCAAGACGACGCCAGUGUCAACUUCAUCAAGCCGGCGCCAUGGAGGACGAAGGCAUGGAGGCUUGCAAAGAUGCCGCCGCUGUGCCGCGGUGGAUAGCGGCAUGGAGCUCGCCAAGACGACGCACAUCGCCAACAUCAUCAACCCAGUACCGCGGAGGAUCGUGGCGUGGAGCUCGCAAGGAGGACGCCACCAACGUCAACAUCAUCAAGCUGGAGCCCGUAGGCGUCGAGCCCGUUGGGGAUGCCGCCGACGUCUACUUCGUUAAGAUGGAGCCCGGAGGCAUGGAGCUCGCAGGGAUGUCGGCCGCCACGUGCCGCGGAGGAUGGCGAGACGGAGCUCGCUAGGACGAUGCCCGUCGUCUUCUUCAUCCAGCCGGCGCCAUGGAGGUCAGGCGUGGGGGCUCGCAACGAUGCCACCGCUGUGCCACGGUGGAUAGCGGCGCGGAGCUCGCCAAGACGACACCAACGCCAACAUCACCAGGCCGGUGCCAUGGAGGACGGAGGCGGGGAGCUUGCAAGGACGCCGCCGUCGUGCCGCGGUGAAUGGCGGCGCGGAGCUCAACGAGACGACGCACAUCGCCAACAUCAUCAACCCGGUACCACGGAGGAUCGUGGCGUGGAGCUCGCAAGGAGGACGCCACCGACGUCAACAUCAUCAAGCUGGACCCCAGAGACAUGGAGCCCGCAAGGAUGCUGCCAUGUGCCGCGGAGGACAACAAGGACGUGGAGCUCGCCAGGAUGACAUCCAUCAUCAAUAUCAUCAAGCUGGUGCCGCAGAGGACGAAGGCGUGGAGCUCACAAGACGUCACCACCAAUGUCUACCUCGUCGAGAUGAAGCCGCAACCCGGAGCCAUAAAGAUGACACACGCCCUCGGCGCUGCCCGCAAAACGGAGCCCGCGAUGCGAAGAAGAUGGCGACACACGGCAAUCUCCGUGGCCCAAAGCCCAUGAAGACGAGGCGAGAUGGCGACGAGGCGACAUGGCUUCACCAACACUAAGUUUCGAUGGCCCCGUGAGGCGGCGUCCUUUGUCUUGACGGACCGCCGUAAACUCGGCGUUCAGCCGAGACGAGGUGCCAACCACACCGGCAUUGCCGUUGCGAGCGAGCAUUGGUUUUACACCCACGCCAAUCUCCAUAAGAAUACUCCCGCGAGGCGAACCACUUGCAUACCCCGACCAAGCUGCUACAUCGUCGAGAAGUCUGAGCACCCAUGCAACUUCAACAUCGACUACAUCAACGCUGUCAAGACCGACGAGGCACGACAGCAAGGGCGGACAUGGCUAGCACAAAGCCAUGUUUUGAGCGGCACGUGUACCGACAAGGUCACGGGCUUUGCCGCUGCCCACACCACACACACCAUCAUCAUAAUGCAUGGAGAACGCGAAGCGAAGACGACGAAGACGACCACACGGCUUAAUCGGAGGUAUCUCGCGGAGCAACCCGCGGGAGUAAUUAACCGGGAGCCUUCCGAGGCCCCGGGAACCAAGAGACCGCAAUCGCUACAGUCAGGCAGGCCGCGAUAGUAGGCCACAAAGCGCAUAUGUAAAGGGAACUUGUAGUUUUAUUUCUUUGUUUCUCCGAUGAGAGAUUAAUAAAGUGCAUGUUUCCCUAUGUCUAUUUGUGUACUUAGUACACUGGCACGCCCGCAAUGUUUUAUUUCCCCUGAAGCGUAGAGAGAUAAUAAUAUAAUAACCCAAGUUAUUUUUUUAUUAUUUCUCGUGUCAAACAAAUUGGCACGCCCGGUGGGACGUGGUUCUCCUCCCAUCUUUGCUUCGCUAUGGUCGUUGAAAUCGUCUUCACCAAUCUCCAACGUGCAAGCAUGCUGCAAGGAUCUUCGCCAGUAAGCCUCUUUCUUGCAGGUGAACUCUCCCACGCCAGCAAAUCGGAGUCGGCAUUGAUCUAUCCCGGAUCAUUGUCACAUAUGGUCUUCAUCGAGCAUGGAGCCAGGGCCUACAUGCAUCAAGCCCAAGAUCUUGCACAGUUCCAAACUGUGCUGGCGAAAAAGGCGCUAAGGCGGGAGGUCGCCAAGGCAAAGAAGGAGCGUCGCGAGCUAAUGGUUGAGGCGCAGGCCCUGUUUAAGGAGUCAACAAGGGCGGAUAUGCAAGGAGAUGUGGAGCAACUCAACGCCUUCACACCAGGGCCGCCAACAGGCGAGCAAGUGCGGCUUCCCUUCACGCCUCUACCGCGACCUCACACUCAGAGCCGCCAACACCAACACCAUGGCGCACCGAGGUCAAGCUGGAGGAAGGUUUGGAGGCCAUCUCCCACAACCUGCGUAGGCUCAUGGUGAACUCUUGUUCUUUUUGAAAGCGUGCAUCCUCUACGCAACUACAAGGGGAAGAAUUGCAAGGCAAUACAAUUUCCAUCAACCUCGACGAUACUCAAAGAUGUGCAUGGGCGCCAUGUCUCCACAACUCGGCGGUUGAUUGAUGAUCACUCUCCAACGACAAUAGGUUCUCCGUUCCUUGCUUCAAGACACGACACCAGGUGGCAAGGAUUCAAUGUGUGGAUCUUCGCCUACUCCAGGAACAAGUGAACCAUAUCCAUAGGCGGCUCCAUGAUCAAGGAGCGCCGAAUACUUCAUUAACGCAGGGUGUAGGUAGGAUAAGGCACCAAUCCCAAGUCAUCAUCCUCAUCAUGAGCGCCUCGACGACAGUCUUCAACUCACCACUUAGAGUGGGGGCAUCCUAACAUGCCCCCCACGUUGUAAACAAUGGCAAGACAAGACGGUGGGAGGAACCCUCAACCCACUCAAAGGUAGCGACCACGGACCCUCUACGAAAAACUCUUCCACCAUGACAUGUGCCCUGUCCUUGGUGGGAAGCUCGGCCACAACUCAAGGUGAAGGCGGACAGGGCUCCAUCACCCACUCGGCGGCACCAUCCGCCACCCCGUUCUCUCCAGGUGAAGCAUCAUUAAUGUAGCCACAAACUGGAUCUCUCUCAAUGUGAUAUGUGACUGGUCCAAGGUGGGGGUUGUUCACCCAUCGCUGAUAUGGAGCUAUCCUAAGGUGGUGCGUUGUUCACACCACCAUCGUCGCGGAGCUUGCCCAAGGUGUGGAGAUCCAUCUGCAUCACCGUCGCCGACAUGGAGUGCCCCAAGGCAGGGCGCUAUCUACACCGCCAUCGACAUGGAGCGCCCCAAAGGCAGGGCGCCAUAUACCUCCGUUGGCACGGAGCUUGGCUAGGCGGAGCUCUUUCUUCUCCACCAUUGACACAGAUAUCUCAAAAGAUGAGGCGGCUUCUGGACCAUCAUCCCACAGCUUUCCCAAGGCGGGGAUAUCAUCUACGUUGUUGCCUCCCACUCGGAGCUUGGUCCGAGCGGGGCUUGGUCUAAACCGCCGCCAACAAGGAGCUUAGCCUUGGGUGGUGGUCGGUCUACACCGUCACAGACAUGUUAACGCCCCAAGAGGAGCGUCAUCUACAUCGUCACCAACACUGAUAUCGCCUAAGGGCGGGCACCGUCUACACCAUCUUGGAGCUUCCCAAAGGCGGGCACGACUUUUGUGCCUUUACCAACAGGGGGCUCGACCAAGGCAUGGUGACGUCCACACCGUCGCCAAUGUGGAGCUCACCAGACAUGGAGAUGGUCCAGACCACCUCUAGCGUGAAGCAUCACCCGAACGCGGGUGCAAUUUACAUAGCCUCGGAGCACGCCUAUGGUGGGCAUGCCGCUUGCUCCUCGCCAACAUGGAGCGCACCAAAAGUUGGGCGCCAUCUACACCACCCGCGACCAUGUUGGAGGCGUCAUCAUCAACCUCCGGCAUAACGAGGAACGCUGCUACAUCAACAUGUCGUCACCAUCUUCAUCGACAUCACACUCGGCGGGGACGCCGACUACAUCGACACGAUGCCAUCCGACUACAUCGACACGGCGUCGCAAUCUUCAUCAACUCUUCAUCUAGCAAGUGUGUCGUCUACAUCGAUGCCGACAGAUGUCCACAUGGCGUCGCCAUCUGCUUUGACUUAUUGACUGGCGAGGACACAGACUGCACCGACACACCGCCAUUCUUCUACACAAACUGCCUACACCGAGCGGAGGUCGUCCACGUAACUGCGAUGCCCCAAGGUCUACAUCGACAAGCUAGUAUUGUCGUCAUCUUCAAGCGCCGCCGUCAUGCGGCGACACUCAAGUCUACUCCAACUUCUACAUCAACACACAUCACCAAUAUCGUCUUAGCCCCGGCGAGGCGAAGCUGUACUUCACCGACAUGUUUUUUUUUUACCGAUGAAGCAAUCCAUAUCUUGCCAGGCACCGACGAGGCGAAGGCAAGUCAUCCAGUCUGACACCGACAAGGCGGACACCACCAGGCCGGGCACCGGCGAGGCGAAGGCCGCCCACUUCAUCACCAGAUAAUCGACAAAGACGAAGGGAUAUGUCUAAGCAUGGCCGGAGCGAUGGGCGUACCGCUCUCCCCUUCACUUCAUCACCACGUCCCCACCAUCUACACCAAUCCAACAACGCGAUCGAAGCUUUCAACAAGACACUCGGCAAGAUACUCGAGAAAACGGUGACAAGGAACAGGAGAGACUGGCAUGACCAUCUCUUCAAGUCCUUAUGGGCGUACUGCGUUACCGUCGGUACCCCAACACAGGCGACCCCAUUUUUUCUUGUUUGCGGGAAUGAGGCAGUCCUACCACUAGAGGUCCAGCUACCCUCUUUGAGGGUGGCUAUCCAAGAUGAGAUCACCCAAGACGAACAGGUACAACUGCGGUUUCAGGAACUCGACGCCCUUGAAGAGGGUCGACUUAAUGCCCUACAGAACCUGGAGCUUUACCGCCAGAAUAUGGUGAGAGCUUAUGACAAGCUCGUCAAGCAACGCGUCUUCCGAAAAGGCGAGGUGGUCCUUGUGCUCAGGCGGCCCAUCGUCGUGACGCACAGGACGAAGGGCAAGUUUGAGCCAAAGUGGGAAGGGCCAUACGUCAUCGAGCAAGUCUACGACGGGGGAGCAUACCAGCUCAUCGAUUCCCAAGGAGUCCGACCUAUGCCCCCAAUCAACGGAAGGUUCCUCAAAAAAUAUUGAUCUAGUUUAUUGGGGAAACUUUUUCUGUGGGCUUUCGGAUCCAUGAUGCAUUCUCCUUAGCAUUUCGUGGAUAUAUCUAGUUUUCCCCAAUUUUUACAGACUAAGUCCAACAAAAAAUGGCUUUCCCCUAUCGCACUACGCUGUUGAUUGAAGUUUCGGCUACCCUAGGACUUGUUGGAGGGCGGCACAAUGUGUUGAUUUGCGGGUGGAGCGGCUCCUACACCCACAUGCACGACACGUACUAGGUGUAUGCUUCUGGAGGCAGCGGAGAUGAUUACUUGGGCACUUCUGAGUAUUGAGACCCCGCGCUCUUCAUGUUUCCCGGCAUGCCUCGUGUUCAUAGAGGCUCGCACUCCAGGGAAGACUAUAGCAAAAGAUCAUGGAGGGUCACAUGGCAACCCUGGGUUGCGCCACCAAAAGCCCCAGAUAAUGUGCUAGAGGGUUUUUCCUAGUCCACGGAGGUGAACAGUUGCCUUCCAAGUUCUCAAGAUGGGUCCCUAAGAAUCCUGGAAGAAGAGUCCUCAAGAAGUUCAGCCGAAUGUCAAAGCAAGUCCAUGAAGUUCGCGGCCAAUCAAUCAUCCGCGUGAGCAAUCAAAAUAAAAUUCCCAAAGUCCAAGAAGCAAAUUCAAGAAAAAUCCCAACAGUACAAGAAGCAAUCAAGUGGUCCCAAGCAGAAAGGGACCCACUAGAAGGAAGGAGGGAGGUAGCUAUUCACCACCCCUCAAUAUGCACGAAGAAAAAUCGCCAAGCUGUUGUCCCAAAACCAUUUAUCCUGAACUUACCACACCCAAGUCUCUGGGUUCAUGGGGCGUGUGCAGGGGGCAUGUUGAGCUAUGGGGGCCCUCAGUAUGAUGAUGGGCUAGAGUAUGAAUUUUUGUUGCCUCUCGGAAGCAUCCCGAAACACGGCGUCUUCAUACAUGUACACCAAAGCUAUUUAAGUUGUUGAGUUGGAAUCGUCAAGGUCUUUUGACGGUUCCCAAUGAUAAGUCCUUCGGUAGCCUUCUCAGAUAUCACGCCUAUAGCUGGUGUAUAACAGGAAAACCAACAUUUAAAACCCACAAACAUUUUUCCCCUCUCUUUUUCGCCUGUUUUCCUCUGGUGUUCCUAGUUGUGCUCCUCCAACAUCUUUUGCAACCAUGGAGAGACACUCCCUGUCAUUGUUGACGGCAUUCAGACAACAACCACUACACCGAACUACGUCUUGGGUGUUUGGGUGCAGGAAUACCUAUGCGUCCCUGACAACACCGAUGACAGCCUGACAACCAAUGGUCUACACCGACACACACGAUGGGCGCCAGAAGGCAACGCCUGCGCUCACGAAGGUGGAGCAGAUUCGUCUCCGCAACCCCGUCUCCAACAACAAUGAAGCAUGGGGGCAACGUCAACCCCUCAAUUAUCCGUAAGGCCGAUGGCGUCCCGCCACUAGAAUUGUCACACCAUGGAUGGUGUGACGAUUCGCUCAACGAAGGGGAGUUGUCGACGGUCUACCGAUGCCUCACCUACAUCAACACAAGGAGAUCAUGGGAGCAGUGCACGCGCCAGUACGGCCAGCGUGAAUCUGUGAAACCCUCCAAUCAAGUCGGUUGGCACUGCAGCAAGGCGGUCGCGAUGAGAUUGGCAAAUUUUAUUUAUUCUUAUUUUCAGGCCAAGGCAUGUUAGUUCGCCAUGGAAUGAAGACGGGAUAAGGUUACCUUGUUGGCUGGCAUCGUGCUUGUUAUACGAUCCAGCGAGCUCCCUAGAUAACAUAAGCGUGGAUGGAUAUACCUACACUAAGAUACAUUGUUUCUAAUGAAUCAUCUCUGGAAUGGCACGCGCGUGGUCACGGAGAUGUCAACUCAGAACCGGUUCUCCGGGCUGCAUAUGAAUUAUGCACCAUGAAAAGAAAGAGCAUUUCAUCGAGUCAAGCUCAAUUUGAUUCGCAUUCAAGCUCGACUCGACGAGGGGGCAUUUGUUCGACGAGUUUUUGUGCACCAUUGCAGAAAAAAAAACUAAUGAGGUUUGAUGCAGGCUAUAUAAGCAAAGGCAAGUCAUUAUGCAAUAGCAAAAUAAUUUUGCAUGGCACGUGCACACACGUACUUGCAUACGGGACAUGCAUGAAAUUUGGUGCAACUAAUCUACGUAUUCUUGUAUGUAUAUAACGGCAAGCUCGCAUCCGUAUCUACGUAUUCUUGUAUGUAUAUAACGGCAAGCUCGCAUCCGUAUGUACUUGAAUACCCGUUGUAUGUAUAGACCGUACAACAUGAGUAUUCAAGUAUAUGCGACCGGCCGGCAGGGGCGGACAUGUACGCAUCUGAAUACCUUGCGCAAGCUACACUUUGAAAAAAAAAGCAUGCACGAGAGCAGCCGGAUGUGUGGUCGUAUAAUUGGCAAGCUACAAGUUUAGAAAAACAAAACUCAACUGACAUCAUCGAUUUCUGUUGAAAGGCAUGCUUGAAGCAACAAGGCAUGUAUUGGUUUGUUUCCUUUUCCUUGUGCAGACUUGGACAUCAAGAAGAAGAAUAGAAGGAAGGAAUUAGCCGCGGCUGCGUACAAGCACCAGCCCUCCCGUCCUAUAAAUAUAGGAGGAACCACGAACAUCAAAGGGGGCCAGGAAAAGACCGAAGGCAGAGGAGACGAGGAGGCCGGCGUACGCCCUCCACGCAAAGACGCGCCCACCAUGGUGGCGCUCUUGCCGGGCAGCACACAGGUUGCUUGCCUAUACGGCAGCAGCGCGUGCGCCAAGGCAUGAAGGAGAUGACCAGUCGAAGGGACGGUACGCUGACAAGGAGCCUGCACCUCAGGUCAGCACAUAUAUACAUAUAUUUCCUUUUGUAUGCAGGACAAGAUACACAUGCACGUGCACGAUUGUCCAGGAGCAGCAUGUCCUGAGCAUGGAGGAGGUGUUCGCCACGCAAGUGGGCGCCUAGAAGGACUACGCGCUAGUCCUCCAGCCAGUAUGAUGGCCGCUCUUGGAGACGACAUCAUCGGCCCUCCAUCACGCAGCUUGCUGCCGCCGACUUCUUCAAGCUCACGAAGACGGGGCUAAUCUUGUACUUCACCGUCCCCAGACGUUGAAGACGCCGAAAAACCAGCGGUGAUGUCGACGCGCAGCCCGCUGGACUCCUAGUGGUGGCCUCCCUUGGUGAUGAGGCCGAUGACGUCUACUUCGUCAAGCUGGAGCCCCGGAGGCGGGAGGUUCGCGAGGAUGCCGCCGUGGAUGGCGACAUGGAGCUCGCUAGGACGACGCCCUCGUUUUUCUUCAUCAGGCUGGCGUAAUGGAGGACGAAGGUACGGAGGCUCGCGCGGAUGCGGCCGCCGUGCCGCGGUGGAUCGUGGCGCGGAGUUUGCCAAGACGACGUCAGUGUCAACUUCAUCAAGCCGGCGCCAUGGAGGACGAAGGCAUGGAGGUUCGCGAGGAUGCCACUGCUGUGCCGCGAUGGAUAGCGGCACGGAGCUCACCAAGACAACGCACAUCGCCAACAUCAUCAACCCGGUACCACGAGGAUCGUGGCGUGGAGCUCGCAAGGAGGACGCCACCAACGUCAACAUCAUCAAGCUGGACCCCAUAGGCGUCGAGCCCGUUGGGGAUGCCGCCGACGUCUACUUCGUUAAGAUGGAGCCCGGAGGCGUGGAGCUCGCAGGGAUGUCGGCCGCCGCGUGCCGCGGAGGAUGGCGAGACGGAACUCGCUAGGACGAUGCCCGUCGUCUUCUUCAUCCAGCCGGCGCCAUCGAGGUCAAAGGCGUGGGGGCUUGCAACGAUGCCGCCGCUGUGCCACGGUGGAUAGCGGCGCGGAGCUCGCCAAGACGACACCAACGCCAACAUCACCAGGCCGGUGCCAUGGACGGAGGCAUGGAGCUUGCAAGGACGCCGCCGUCGUGCCGCGGUGAAUGGCGGCGCGGAGCUCACCAAGACGAUGCACAUCGCCAACAUCAUCAACCCGGUACCACGGAGGAUCCUGGCGUGGAGCUCGCAAGGAUGCUGCCAUGUGUCGCGGAGGACAACAAGGACGUGGAGCUCGCCAGGAUGACAUCCGUCAUCAAUAUCAUCAAGCUGGUGCCGCAGAGGACGAAGGCAUGGAGCUCACAGGACGUCACCACCAAUGUCUACCUCGUCGAGAUGGAGCCCGCAACCCGGAGCCAUAAAGAUGACACACGGCCUCGGCGCUACCCGCAAAACGGAGCCCGCGAUGCGAAGAAGAUGGCGACAACGGCGAUUUCCGUGGCCCAAAGCCCAUGAAGACGAGGCGAGAUGGCGACAAGGCGACAUGGCUUCACCAACACUAAGUUUCGAUGGCCCCAUGAGGCGGCGUCCUUUGUCUUGACGGACCGCCGUAAACUCGGCAUUCAGCCGAGACGAGGUGCCAACCACACCGGCAUUGCCGUUACGAGCGAGCAUUGGUUUUACACCCACGCCAGUCUCCAUAAGAAUACUCCCGCGAGGCAAACCCCUUGCAUACCCUGACCAAGCCGCUACAUCGUCGAGAAGUCUGAGCAAAGCAGGACCCAUGCAACUUCAACAUCGACUACAUCAACGCUGUCAAGACCGACGAGGCGCGACGGCAAGGGCGAACAUGGCUAGCACAAAGCCAUGUUUUGAGCGGCACGUGUACCGACGAGGUCACGGGCUUUGCCGCUGCCCACACCACACACACCACCAUCAUAAUGCAUGGAACGCGAAGCGAAGACGACGAAGACGACCACACGGCUUAAUCAGAGGUAUCUCGCGAAGCAACCCAUGGGAGUAAUUAACCGGGAGCCUUCCGAGGCCUCGGGAACCGAUAGACCGCAAUCGCUAUAGUCAGGCAGGCCGCGCUAGUAGACCACGAAACGCAUAUGUAAAGGGAACUUGUAACUUUGUUUCUCCGAUGAGGGAUUAAUAAAGUGCAUGUUUCCCUAUGUCUAUUUGUGUACUUAGUACACUAGCACGCACGCAAUAUUUUGUUUCCCCUGGAGUGUAGAGAGAUAAUAAUAUAAUAACCCAAGUUAUUUUUUAUUAUUUCUCGUGUCAAACAGAAGGUGAUGGAGUACUUGGACCACCUGAUGGGACGCGACGCCACGAGCUUGGGGAGGGCCGCGUUCACCUCACGAGCGAACUGCUUGAAGAUGCGAUGAGAGGCGAGGGCCUGAGCGCCACCCAAGAUGCAGGCAAUGGUGCGAGGUUCCUGAAAGCCCCCAGCCCCAUCGUCUUGGCGAUGGUCGUCGUUCCUCCUUGCCCGCGGUGGCAGCGGAGGAAGGCCGGUGUUGCCCUAAGGACGGUCCUCGCGGGGCUGGUCACGCCAGGGGCCGUCGCAAGGCUGGCCCUGCCAGCGGUCCUCACGAGGUUGAUCACGCCAGUCUUGAAAGGGGUCGCGGUUGUCCCAGCGGCCUCCACCGCGGCCUCCUCCGCGGCCAUAGCCACGGUCGUUGCGCUCGGGACGGCGGCCGAUGCGCCCGUCGCGGAUUGCCCUAAGCUCCUGCCAGUCGUUGGUGUUGUGGCUGUGGACGUUGUGGAAGACGCAAAACGGGCGGCUGCCUUUGGAGGACUCGGCGUGGUCACAGCCACGCUUCAUCUCAGGCUCGGCCGCGAGCACAGCAGGGCCCUUGCGCUUCACGUCCUUGCCUUGGCCUUCUUGUCUUGAGGAUCGGCCUUCGAGAGCUCCAGGAGGGAGAGGCGACCUUCCUCUGCCCUCACACACUUGGUUGUCAUGUUGAACAUCUCCAGAGCCGAACACAGAUCUUCGUGUAUGGCGAGCUCUUCCUUCAUCUUGACGUCCCGGACACCAUCAAUGAACGCCGAAAUGAUGGCCUCGUCCAACAUCUUUGGGAUCUUGAGGUGAACGUUGGUGAAGCGUUGUAUGUAUUUGUGCAAGGUUACUCCUGACUGCUGCCUGAUGCGCCGCAAGUCGCCCACAGCAGGGGCGCGGUCGUGAGUGCCCUGGAAGUUGGCGAUGAAGCAUUCGCGCAGCUCGUCCCAGGAGGAGAUCGACCCCACCGGAAGGUUCACGGGCCAAGAACGCGCGCCAUCCUUGAGGGCCAUGGGAAACCAGUUCCCCAUGACUCUCGUUGCCAUUUGCCACCUUGAUGCUCGGCUCAUAGAGCUGGAGGAACUCAGCGGGUCAGGAGUGUCGUCGUAGCGCAGAGGCAGAUCCGGCUUGAACUUGCCGGGCCAGACGAAGCGGCGCAGCUCCCGAGUGAAUGCACGGCAGCCCGCCGCAUUCAUGGAUGAUGGGAGCCAGCCGCUGAGGAGGAGCCUGAUCUUGACGCCCGCGCGCCGCCGCCUCUGGCGGCACACGGUCUUGACGUGGUGGAGCUGGAAGCGCACGCGCUUCUCCUUGGGGCCGCUGCACCACCUAGCAGCUUUCUUCGUCACGUGCUGGCGCCCCUGCGUGGCGGGUCACGCUGGGGUGCCUCGCUCCUCGGCUUGGGGUCCACGCCGCGCAGAGGAGGAGGCGCGCCGUGAGCCACGUCGCCCGCCAGAGACGAAGGAGGACGGGGCGAACGGGGCGGUGCAGGGGCCUCGCCAGAGGUGCUGACGAGCUCGGCGAUGCGGGAUAGCCAGUCGUUGGCCUGGCGAUAGCGCAGAAGCUCGCGCGCCAUGAGCAGCACAGCCUGCGCGUUCGCCGGCCCGCGACGAGCAUGAGAAGACGACGUCGUGGCUGGAGUGGGUGAUGGAGUCACGGCGACGAGUCCUGCUGCUCGUGGGCAGCAGGGUCGGUGGCAGCGUUGGCCACCGGGGAGGCAAAGCGGCGGGGCACGUCGUUGCCCACAUGUGUCGUCUGAGCGACACGAGCGGCCCGGCGCUCGGCACGGGCACGGCAGGCGUCGGCCAUGGGAACGACGAAACGGCGGCGGAGCAAACGACGAAAGAGCGGCUUUCACACGCCCCUACCUGGCGCCAAAUGUCAGAUUCAGGGCUCUGCAGACCCAAGAAAGGUUCAAACUCUGGGGCGUGUGCAAAGAACUCAACCUCUUCAUCCAACCAGUUCGUCACCCCCACGACCUAGCUCGAUGAACAAGAAGAUGGACACGGCGGUUUACCUAGGUUCGGGCCACCUUGCGGUGUAAGACCCUACUCCUGCUUUGAGGUGGAUUAGCCUCACGAGGGGCUGAGUAUGAACUAGUACAAGGGAAGAACAACCUCACGAGGUCUGCUCUGGUGGGUGUGAGCUGGUGAGGUGUGGAUCUAAUCUGGAGAGAGCUCUCCUUCUACGGUGGUGGCUAACAUAUAUUUAUAGUGGCCUUGGUCCUCUUCCUCCAAAACGUAGGCAGGAAGGGAUCCCGCAGUGGCCAAUUUGAAAGGAGACAAGUAGUACAUCUUAUCCUGACGAAAGGUGGUCUUCGCCUGCAAAGCUUCUAGCCGUGACGCUGCGGUGGGCUCGACGAUGACAUCUGUCCUGUCGUCCUGGCGGUCUUGGUCUCGUUGGACGGGAAUGGAAACCUUUGGUUGAUUCCUCGGGACCCCGCGCCUGCGCUUGCCUCCUUAGCACCAAAGAGGAAAUCUGCUCCUCUGCGCCCGCUGGCGCCCGCCUGGCCUUGGUCGUCAUGGCUUGUGUCACCUCAACCUCAUGAGGUGGGCACCUGCAUAGAAAUCCCCGCUCCUCAGGAGGCAGCCAGGGAAGGCCGCUCCCUCCGGAGGUCUUCAUGUCAUCCGCCUCGCGCGGCUUGGCCCCUCGCAAGGGUCUUGUCUUGAAGGUGCUGUAGAUGGGUCGUAUUAGGCCGUAGACGGAGCCACGCCAUGGGCCGCAAGCAUGCAAGUCUGGGUACCCUGGUUCCUAGAACGCCGACACUUUGGGCUUUGCAGAGCCCAUUUGAGCGGCGAUGGGAGACAUGUACGUAAUUUCACUUACGCCGAUAAUGUCAGAGCUAUAAAUAGGGGCCACAUAGAAGGGGGUCCACUCCUUUCUAACUAGUUUUAGCAUACUACUCCAUGCAUAACGAUUUCGGCGCUUAUCGUCGAAAUCUCCAUAACUCGACAAGCAUCCCCCGACGUUGUAAUCCUCGAUAUCCUCGAUAUAUAAAGAAAAGAGCAAGGUAGGAAGUAAGGCGUUUACCCACCAUGGGGGAUGAACCUGGGUAAAUCAUGGUGUCCCCUUUACUUGCGUUCUAGAUCUACUGUAUCCUAACAGUUAGGUCUCCUCAACUACAAAGUCCACGUACUUGCUCCAGUGCCGAUGUUAGGACCCAGCGAAAAUCUCUUAACAACUGGUGCCGACCAUGUCGUUGCCACGAAAUCAGAUCAAAUAUAUGACAUCAUUUCAUCAUCAUCGUCGGACGACGAACCAUCUAGGGCAAGGACAAAUAGCCAAGGGUCACCGGAGAAAGGCUCGGGGGCUUACUCAGCAAGAACGCCCCUACUUCUUUUUCGACCAAGGGAAGUCCAAAUGCACAGGAGAAGGCGUCAUAAUUCAAGUCCUCCGACCCCAAACGCCCGACGAAUUCAGCCAAGGAGGAGAAUCAUGAGAGAUUCAUGGUGAAAGAGGUCGCUACCAACUGCAAUGCAUGAGACAGAUCAGGGUAUCCACCCUAGAACUUCAUCAACGGUCUGGACAACCAAAGGGUGAAGCAAAACUUAUGUUGCCAGAAGGCGAUACACAAGAUCAUAGGGAAGAGGAUCGUUCAAGAGAGAACAUGUAUACAAGUAGAGCAGAAUCAGGAGCGUCUCUCUGAAGAAGAAACUGUGAGUGGAGUGUUCAACUUGUCGGCUUGGCGGGAACAUGAUGAAGCAAUCCAAAAUCUCAUGCACUAUCCUCACAACUCGCUGAGUUUCCAUGACUCGAGGGGUACCCCCUGACAUUGUAAUGCUCCAUAUCCUCGAUAUAUAAAGAAAAGAGCAAGUUGGGUAGUACGGCUUUCACCUUGGGGUCCUAAAUCUGGGUAAAUUAUUUGUCCCCCUUUACUUGUGUUUUAGAUCUACUGAUAAUCUGAUAUCCUGACAUGACGUCCCCUCGACUACAAAUUCGAUGUACUAGCUCUAGUACCACUGUUAGGACCCACGAAAAUCCCUCGACAUAUAUUACAUGCAUACUGUGCAGCUUGAUCACUUACUUACACUACCCAAUGCAGAAGACACAAUUUUACACGGAUGACUAUAAUAACUAUGAUACAUCAUUAAAAUGAUAUGUGCCCCUCAGAGUAAAACCUUAUGCAUCCAUAUCUCACUUUACAGUUUUCAGUGUUUGCAUAAACUAGUUCCCCUUAUCUAAAAAAAGUGUUUGCAUAAAUUAGCUUUCAACUACUUACUUCGCCAAUUGGGCUGUACAGACUGCGCUGGCUCUUGAGUUGAAAAAAUAGAUAGCUAGCAUAAGCCACAAGCAUUAUGCAGCUACUAAACCUUGAAAGAGAAACUUCGGAUUUUCCAUAGUGCGCUUCAGAAUGUGUAAAGUGAAGCACCGCUGGAAACAUUAGACCCAAGACAGCCAUCAACAACAACCCAGAGUUCACAACAGCUGAUGCCUACAUAGAAAAAUGCAAGUUAAUAGAGAUAAAAUGUGUGGAUAAUAAUGAAAAUAACCACCUUUCUAUUCUUACCUUAUUGAAGACCUGAUCUCUAUUAGGAUGAGCAAGCCCACCAGCAAAGAAAGCACACCCAAGAACUAACAGCAUGUUUGAUAAUAUAGAGCCUAGUAGUGACUGCUGUACGACACGAAUCAUUCCGUUUUUCAGUGCAUAUAUCGAGAUAAUCAUCUCUGUCGCAUUUCCAAAAGUAGCAUUUAGAAGCCCCCCAACUGCAGUUUCAAAAAGGAAGAGUCUUUACCGAUUGCUGAAGUCAAGAUUUGAAUUAGGAAGCUAAGAUAAUAUGGAAUGAAGACACAUACUUGUUGGGCCAGUGUAGCAAGCAAGUUGCCUGCACAAGACAAGGCAUCUGUUAUUGAAAAUGCUAAAUGGAGCUCGAGCUCCAUGUGGGCGGAACUUCUAUGUUUCAAAACAUUCUGAAAAAUACGCAUAUACCCAAAGACAUAAUAUACAUGUGUGUAAAAUUUCAUGUUGAAAUACGUUAAAAUGAGAGCUACACAAAAAAAACAAAUGUGUGGCUGUUUAGCACAUGCACUAUUCAUUCUCAAAGUCCACGAUUUUGUUGUCUUUUGUGCGGCUCACAAUUCAUGGUAUUUCACCGUGAAAUUUUACACACGUAUACAUUACAUCUUUGUUUACAUGUAUAUUUUUGUUCAUAAUUUUUUGAAACUGAAAAUUUUGAAUUUUGAUUUUGUUUUUCAAUAACAGGCUCCAUGGAGCCCGUCCUCCAAAAUGCCCUACUCAUCCGUUGUAAUAUACAGUAAGUUAUAUAACAUACAGAAGCUAGAUUAGACAAAAUCUGCUAGGCACUUACUCAGUUGCAUAUCCCAAUCUCUCGGCCAAGGGCGUGAUACCAACUAAGCUGAAAAGGAAAACCCAUCCUUGCUGUGAAGCAUUUGAAGGAAGCAAUCCCAGAAAUGGAAAGCAUUAUCAGGUCAGUCUUGCUGUUGCAAGUAAACGUGACGAAGAAUGCAGCAGAAAAAAUGAAAGCAUGCGCCCCUAUUAUAGAUUCAAAAGUAGUACAGUAGUAUAAAUGAAAGUAGCUAACAAAGCAGAAAGAGUAAAUCAUACUGCAUCAACUCUGAUGAAUAAUGCAGAGUACCCAGUUUAGAUGGGUGAUCAUUGUGGGCAUUGUUCCUUACGUGGUUCCCGGAGAGGUAGUGAAGCGUGAUGGCGAGGGGCCCGAAGGGCAGGAGCACAUUGAUCUUGGCCUGGAAGAUGACGAUGCGUAUGCUCCUGAGCGCCAUCCGCCACUUGCUCCGGGGCGAGAGCGACUCCGCCACCGCCGCGAGCGAGCCGAUGUGCUCGAAGUCGAGCGACUGCAUCUUCCUGGCCGGCGGCGGCGUGCCGGCCGCCAUAUCAUCAUCCUCCUCGAACCCUAGCUCGGCCUUGUCCGCCGCCCCCGUCAUCUGAACAAAUCUAAAACGAAGCGAAUCCAAAUCAAGAACCGCCACCGAUCCCUGUCAACCCCCGGACAGCGCAAGAAUCCUACCUCCCGCGCGACGCGGACAGAUGAAGAUAGCGCUCCAGGAAAUGCGAAGGAUUACGGCUCGGAUUUGGAUGGUCGAUUUCGAAUCAACAAGGCCUCUCCUCGUUCGUUCUACUAAUCCUUUUUAUCUGACUAUGUUUCGUCUAGAUAACUAAGGCCACGUACAAUGGUUGAUAAGAUAGUUUUAUCUUAAAUUUUGUAUGUAAAUUACAAAUGACAAAAAAAAUAUGUCUACAAUGAGUCAUCUUUUAGCCUUAUCUUUAAUAAUUAGUUGUUUCUAAAAUUAUAGUGAGACAAAUUGUGCUAAGAGAUCAUCUCUUGUCUUUUCUUAAAUAAGAUAAGACAAGCCUUCUCGUAUGAUUUCUUUCUCCUCCAUCUCAUCAUUUAUCAUACGUGGCACACCUAAGAUAGCAUCAUUGUACAUGCUCUUAGAAAAGGCUUGUCUUCUCUUAUGAUCUCUUAGCAUAAUAUAUUGUAGACAUUGUUUUAGGAAUAGCUAGUUAUUGAAGAUAAGGCUAAGAAAUAAUCUAUUGUAGAUAUUAUUUUUUGUCAUCUCUAAAUUACAUGCAAGACUUAAGAUAAUGUUGUCUUAUCAACCAUUGUACAUGCCCUAAUAUGACAUCAUCUUAUAUGUGACUCUUUCGACUAGUCAAUGUGUACGUCCAAUGCAUGUUAAUUUGGAAAUAUAUUAAGUGUAUGUGGAUGUUAAGUAGGAUAUUAUUUACGUAUUAUUAUAUGAUUAGCACUAUAUUGGCAUGAAAUUAAGUACACGCUAAAGUGUUGAGCGCUCGACAUUGAAGUAAUCUCGGUCGUUGGAUUGACAUAAUUUAAUGAUCGAGAUUAAUUGGAUUUGCAUGUUUGGAUCUUUUUAUAUUGGUAUAUAGAUAUAGAUAACUGAAUGAUUUUGUUGUUUUGUUUGUUUGUCUUAUUUUUCUUUACUCCUAAAGGAGCAGUCCGUACGUCGUUGGUUUGUUCGUUCGUUCGACAUCCCCACCCAUCGAUCCCACAUGUUUUUUUUUCUCCCUUUCGAAGUCCACCCGGUCGAUCAAUUUUGUUGGCAGACCGAUUCCCUGCCUUCCUGCGUUUGUAAUCUUCCUUUUUUUAGACACUUUAUUAAUCUUCCUUUUAUGGCCACGGACGAUCCAAUCCGGCCCAGAUCAUAUCCUUCUCACCCACGACAGCCAAACCCUAUGAGCCCUUCCCAUGUCGUUUUUCUCUUGUGGCGGCUAGAUAGAUGAAACAGCGGCGCUCAGGGCAGCAUCGGCAUUGGGCUUAGGAUGAUGGUGCAAGACGGGCGUGAGGACGUGAGGUACAUAUUUUUCCCUCUCUACCUGAGCCUACUCAUCUCUCCCAUCUUGGUCUCUCUCUAGGAAUGACGUGCGGCGGCGUCGAAGCAAGACAGCGGCGCGACUGGGCGACCGCGCCCUCGAGCGAGUGCGGUGGAGACGAACUGAGGGGCGCGGGGGAGGCAGACUGGAGGCACGGCCGUCGGUGGGUUACUUUGCCAUGCCGCUCUUCCUCUCCCCUUGUGUGUGCAUCUUCUUCUAUCUAGUAAUUACCGCUCCACUCUCCUCUGUUCCGGUUAGAGCGCCUUAAUUUUUAUAUGCCUUAUCAACUUGCUGUCGGCCGGCUGUCCGCCACCAUCGUGAUGUGAAGUAAUCUAUCUCAUGCAUAUACGCUUUGUCUCUCCCUUAUAUCUCUCUUCCAUGCGACUUGCUGGCCAGUCGUCGCCCAAAUCAAACUCAUCAGCAGCAGCAGUUCAUGGCAGUAGUAAAUCGGUCAAUGGGAUCAAGUGGUGAUGCAGACCGCUACGUGAGGCAAUAAGUAAGACUUGUGCACGUACACAACCCUGAGCUAGAAACUCGAUCUAUGUCAGUAUUUGUUCAAAGCUAAUGUACCGCUUUAUUUGGACUGCUACACUGAUGUGAUGUCUUAGGAUUUGUUCAUCACAGCACAGUGUGAACAAUUGAUUUGGUUCAUUGGUUCGGUGAACUGGUGCAGGUGUGGUCAUGCCGGUGCCGCCAUCACUCUUGGAGGUUUGAAGGGAACAACUGGAUGCGAUGGUGAGGGAAAGUAUCUAGUGCUCCCAGGCCUAGGGUGCUCCCGGUGCUCCGAUGUGAAAAACAUUUUUUAAAAUGCUCAAAAAAUUCUAAAAAAAUGCAGCGCAUCGACGGAACAUUGAUGUCUCUUGUCACAAAAUUUCAAAUCAAAAUUCGAAACAUUGCUCGAUAUACAAAAAUGACAAAUUUGACAUCAAUGUGAUAAUGGGCCAAAACUAAAGCCCAACUUAUGUUAUGUACAAAAAUUUGUCAUUUUUGUAUCUCGAGCAAUGUUUCGAAUUUUGAUUUGAAAUUUUGUGACAAGAGACAUCGAUGUUCCGUCGAUCUACUGCAUUUUUUUCAGAUUUUUUUGAACAUUUUAAAAAUAUUUUUCAGACAUUUGGAGCACCGGGAGCACCCCAAGCCUGGGAGCACUAGAUACUUUCCCGCGAUGGUGAAUGGAUGCAGUUGUAUGCUUCUUUCUUGUUCUUGGUGUUCAACAGAAUUAAGUUGCAAGUUUAUUAUGCCUAGAGCUGUUAUUUUGUGUAUGUACUAUAGCCUGUAUAUUUGCCAAACUGUGUGAAUUCUCCUAUGACCCGAUAUAAAUUUUAGCUAUCAUUUAGUUUAUCAAUUCAGAACUAAUUUUUUUAUGUUGGUUUUGUGAACCCAAUUGCUGCUGUCAGAUGGAGCUGUUUUGUUGGAGAAGUUUUGUGGCUGGGGCAAUGCCACCAAUGAUGAGGGGCCUCGACCCUGAUAGAUUAUCUACUGUUGACAUGUUUGAUUUGCAGAGCAGAUGUUGCACGAAGAAACAAGAAACAUGUUUGAUUUACAGGGUGAUGCUGCACUAAUUCUUCAGUUUGUUGUCUUUCCAAUCCAAAAGAAGUAAGCGCUUGAUUUGCACAAGCCAUGGUGACACCAGCUCAGGGCCAUAGUGAUAUGUAAUUUGACAUAACUUAUCCCUGGUUGUGUAAUGGAGAAAUUAGGGAUGCCUAAGAUCAGCGAUGAGGCAGUGGCAUGCGCUCGUCCUCUCAGCCCAUGUUUUGCUGCCAUGGUGCCCUUCACUUACGUCCGCCUCUAGAUGGCGCUUGCAACACCUAUCCCUUUCCGCAGCUCAUCCAUAAUGCAGGACAACACCACUAAUGUGAGCAUUGUUGAGUUAAUUGUUGCUUUUAUUCUUGAAGUCAUCUUGGCUCCCUAAUUCUAAGCAUGACUGUAGUUGUUUGAAUUAUGUUUGCUACUUCAUGUACUCAUAAGCAGUAUUCUUAUGUAUAUGCAGUAUUCUUCUUCUUCUUUUUCUUCACCAAAGUUGUUUCAUGAACUCAUAAGCGCUACACUUUGGUGGCCAUGAUAUUUCUCAUAUGGCAUCUUGUCUUUUUCCAUUCAGAUCUCAACAUGUGAUUGGUGGUCGAAGAACAAAAAACUUGGACUCAUGUUCACAACCUUGGAGGAGGGAAACAUCAAAAGUUCGUUAGUGCAGGACUGUGCUGGGUAGCAUGUGAGGCCCCAACCGACGCAGUCGUGCACCAAAGGCCCAGUACACAUAUACACUACAUCGUGGACUGUGAUCGCUGUGUCUACUGGGACUAUUUAGGUAAUUUGAAUUACCCUUGUCUAAAAAAUAAAGGCAAUUUGAAUUUUCUUCCAUUCCCACAUGAAUGUCAGUAAUUAAUAUGACACUGGUAUUGCAAAUCUUCAGUGUCCAGUUUUUUUGGUAAUGGAACAUUUUGGCCUACAUAAAUGGAUUCCAGGAGAACAUGAUGCGAGCAGUACCGGCAAAAGCAUGUGUGGUUAGAUAUUUGUUCGGAGGAAUCAUUACAAGAAAAUGUGAAAGAGCAAGGUCUGGGAAGGAUAUGAAAGGAAGCAUUGAUAUUCAUGACGGAGUGCUAGUUAUAGGAUGACAGCCGGCUUGAGGAUGAGGGUAGCUUUCUUUCUGUUGGUUAAAGAUCUUGUGGGUUCCCCUAACGCUAACUAUGUCUAUAUUAUUGGUAUGUGACCUGCACAUGUUAUGCUUAGAUGCACUUCUAAAUUUCUUACAUGCGUAUACAUAUUUUAUUUAUUUAUUUUAUCACUAAUUUCUACUAGAACCUGAGUAUUGAUCUCAUGCAUGCUUAUACAUAAUUACUAUUGAUUUACAACCAUUUGUGAUAUAGCAUUACUUUGCACUGUAAUCAGGAAGAUGUAUCUUGACCAUGAUCUCAUUAUUUGACACGAAAUUGGGAUAUAUGAGAUGGUCUAUGUGAGAAUCGCGGAGACUAAUGUAUGAUUAUUUCAUUUCAUUUUGAUUUCCAGAAAGUGUUCGUUCAACAAUAUGAUAGCCUAUGACUCUAUUUUACCUUUGCUUAUAAAAAAAGGUCUAAAUCAGUUCAUAAUUUCAUAUGUGUUGUUUAAAAAAAUAAUAUCAUAUGUGUUUUCAGUAUUAGUUUGGUUUGUCUCAAAUGUGACAACAAUUAGAAAAUGGUGUAAAUUUGGUUUAAAUUUUAAAUCCUUUUGUAUGUGCAAGCAUCAUUUCCUAUUCUUCCUCGCGCUUAUGACAUUUAUGGUCCAUUCUAAUGGUGAAUCAUUCUUUCAGUGUGUUUGCAUGACUGUCAGACAGGAUGAAUAAAAUACCUGAUUCUCCCACCAUUUUCAUCGUUGUUGCCGAGACCCAUUGCUAGGGUUGCUAGGUGCAAAAAUGUGAAUGAUGUUGUAUGAAAAUAAGAAUAUCAUCGGGUAUUUGUGGGCAUGAAAAACUUUAGGUGUUUGAAUAUUGACCGACAGGCCAUUACCUUCACCUUCACUAGAGGGAAGCAAACAUGGAAAUGCUUCUACUCCCUAGAACUUUGAGAAACAAGGCUUCAUUAGUAGAGGCGUAGAGCAGCAGGAUGGGCCAUUGACUACAAUCGAUCCCAAGAAAUGGGUUACGAUACUUUAUAAAUACUACUAUAUUUGGGUAAAAUGAUGAACAAACUUUCACCUUUUUAUAUCAGAAACUUAGUUAAUGCUUAAUCAAGAUGUGACAACACAUUUACUAACUUUAGGUUUGGUGGCAGCUAGGCAUCGGUCGACUGGCCCAAAUUUGCGGCGCUGCAGUUGCCGGGUCAUCCGAUUUACGCACUACCGUUUGAUCUGGACGCUAAUAGCCAUUCGAUUUAAGUUUUUCUUCCGCCCCUACAUGAAGCCUCGUUGCAGCUCGCCAUGGGUGAUUCGUGGAGGGACGGGACUCCCUUGCACCAUAGCUCUGUCCCCUUGCAACACCAUCGGCUACCUCGGAGCAUCAUGUCGACAUCAUUGAACCGUCCCUGGUGGUCGCCGUCAAUCUCUCCUAGCUUGUAGCAUGGUGUCACCAUGUUGCAGCUUGCCAUCAGCCGCAGAGCCGGUUCGAGGAAGGAACAAUGUCGACCAUGGCACACCGAGGGGCAUUUGACUCCGAUGGCUCGCCGAGGACCCUCAUGUUGUCGCAGUUUCCCAAAUUGCCUGUCUAGCAAAUUUUGCCGUUGAUUCUAGCAAAUUGCUUUGCUGGUUAUAGCAUUCACAUUGCGGGGUCUGCCUAUGCAACAAAAUCAAGCAUCGGUCCUAGCAAAACUCGCCAAUGGUUCCAGCAAAUAACGUCAUCGGCUGUAGCAUCAACAUCGCAAGCAUCUACGUCACGUGGUCUGCCUACACAACAAACAUGAGCACAUGUUCCAGCAAAACUUAACAGCGGUUGAAUCUUGUCGACGGCCUGUUUCAACAUCUCACCGGUUUCGCCAGGACCUCACCUCCACGCAUUGCAGCUUCGACAGGUGCUGGUCGCAGGUUCCGAAGGAGUCGAAUGCAAUUUUUCCACGGCUUUUUGCAGCACAUGUGACUAUCCUCCACCUGAGGGGGGCCAUGGGGAUUUGCAGGAGAUGCAUGCGGGAGUUCCCUGGCGUGGUAAAGGAGAGGGCGCCAUGGGAUUAGCGAGUGAUAGAGAAAGGAUGAGGGAGGUCGUCGGCCUAUUCAUGAGAGGGAGUCAUGGGGGAUUUGGGGAUAUCGAUGUUGAAGGGAUGGCCUCAACCAUGAUAAUGAGAAAGACAAUGGAUACAAGGGGAUCCACAUCGAGGAAGAAGAUAAGGAGGAACAGGGUUAACCGGUGUGCGGGUCCCAUGGCCCAUGGACCAGCGGAGGACGUGUGGUCUAUUGGAUCAAGCCAGAUCCAACGACCAACCUGCGAUCGACGCGGAGCUUCAGCCGGAUAGCAUCAUUUAUUUAAGUUUUUUAUCAACUCCUUUGAGUUAUACGUACAUACUUAUCACUCUUUUAGGUCAACGAGGAAGUAUGGUGCAAGGAGAGAAGGCGCCGUGGCCAAGGUGAGGUGGACGUCAUCCGGUUUUAGAGAAGACUUCAGUGAGAAAUGCCCCAAUAUGGCAUGAAAUCGAGCAGGAAGGUAAGGGUUCCGCAGGAAAACGGAAGGGUGCGUCCUGGGGUGGGGUUUUUGUAUUGGGAUUGUGUGUGGGUGAUAACACGAGGGAUAGUUCAGACAACCAUAUUUCUCCCCCACAUAUGGGCUUGAUUUGGGGAGCUCGGACUGUCCAAACGGUUGAAUUUUGAGGAGCCUACUGGACGCCCGUUUGAAUGUAGGGGCGAGCCCGGACGUACGAGGGAAAAAUGAGCUUCGACCUUGAAGACGGCCUUAAUUAUUUGUUUGAUUUAUUUAUAUGCAUUGUAGCCCGUAGCAACGCACGGGCAUUCUACUAGUUUUUUUUAAUAAUCAGAUUGUUUGUCUUGUUUCUUUAUCAUCGUGACACCCAGCCUCAGAACCACCCCUUAUGAAGUCGCAUCUGAUUAGGCGAGUAAUUUGAGGAAAUGCCGUACUUUUUCUGGGACUUUACUCUUACUAGUUGACCCGUUGCGCCAAAUGGCGCAGAGACCCGCUAAAGACAUGUUAUCGAUGAAAAUAGUUUCAUUUUGUAAAAACAUAUUCAAUACUGAUGUGUUAGACCAUGCUAUAUUGACAAUAUGUUUAUCAUCCCAAAAAAUCUGAGUGUGAAAAACAAACCAUAUUUGUAUAACAUGUGUAGGCAGUUAAGGAAGCUUUUUUUAGCUGAAAAUAUGGUUAUCGCGCUGACAAAUCUGAGUUUGAAAAGAAAAUUUUAUAUAAGAACAUUAAAUGGCAGAAUGACCCAGUGGCAACAUGUAGUGCUAAAUGUUAACUACAAAUCCGUGGGUUAUUCGUUUGGGCAUCUUUCUCGUUUUUCUAAAUUUUGAAAUUACAAUAUACUGGUAUGCUUUCCUCUGCCUCAUCAAUCCCCACAAUCGAGAUGUGCGGAGGCAGCUCUAUGCAUGAGCAGGGCUUUCAAGUGGCGCGCUCUCUGGAUGACCCAUUGUGCCAAAUGGCGCAAAGGCCCAUUUAAAACCAUGAACACUUCAAAAAUAUUUGCAUUUGUUAAUAACUAUACGCUUGAGCAAUCACAUAGGACAAAAAUUGUAACUACUUUUAUAAAAAAGAAUAGACUUGUCUUUCAAAAUAUAUACUUGAGCAUGCAUAAUUUGUUAUGUUAUUCAGGAACACAGAGGCAUAAGUUUAAAAAAAAUUCAAACAAAGAAUGAAAUGUAAAUAGUUGCUUAAUGUAAUUAUGCAACAAAUUAGAACAUCGGUGGGUCAAAUAACUGAGCCUGCAAUUAGAAAGUCCAAAUAGCUUACGCUAAAAAGAAGGUAAACAUAGGCGACACGGUAAAAAAGAAGGUAAACAUAGGUGACACAAUAAAGCCAGGUUUGAUGAACUCCAUUGCACACUUUGUGGUGUUUGAUGAAUAAAGCUACCCCUCAAAAAAAAGUGACACAAUAAAAUGUACUUAAUACACGAUGAACAUUUCUUAGAAAUAGUGGUCAAUUACAUCAUAUAAUUUGGUUCUGUACAAAAGAAAGUUUCCUCUUUUGUGUAUAUAUAUCCUAAAUACCACCCCUUGCGAUGAACUAUCUGUCUUUGUCCACAAAUUUGGUUAUUCACCAUCCAGCAUGUCAGUUGCAGUCUCCUGAAGCAUAGGAACAACAUAAGUUAAAACAAUGUAGUCAAACAUACACUAA
rnacentral:lncRNA from 1 species